rnacentral:lncRNA from 1 species
AUGAUAGCAAGCAGGUGUAGGGGUCAGCAGGCUGGCUCAGUGGCUCCCCCUCGAAUUCAUGAAGGAAAUGAAACGGUAACAUUUCUUGUAGUAGCACACUAGCACUGCAGGGUUUGGCCUGGGUCCAUUGCUAUGGAUUAUUCUCGCAAAGAAAGCUGCGUGUCUGUGUUCUACCUUAGCUUCGUCCAUCAUAUCCCAU